GGUUAAGCGAUUAAGCGUACACGGUGGAUGCCCUGGCAGUCAGAGGCGAUGAAGGGCGUGCUAAUCUGCGAUAAGCGCCGGUAAGGUGAUAUGAACCGUUAUAACCGGCGAUACCCGAAUGGGGAAACCCAGUGUGACUCGUCACACUAUCAUUAACUGAAUCCAUAGGUUAAUGAGGCGAACCGGGGGAACUGAAACAUCUAAGUACCCCGAGGAAAAGAAAUCAACCGAGAUUCCCCCAGUAGCGGCGAGCGAACGGGGAGGAGCCCAGAGCCUGAAUCAGCAUGUGUGUUAGUGGAAGCGUCUGGAAAGGCGCGCGGAUACAGGGUGAC
rnacentral:rRNA from 1 species